rnacentral:misc_RNA from 1 species
UCCGGUUUGUCACCGGCAGUCUCCUUAGAGUUCCCACCAUAAUGUGCUGGCAACUAAGGACAAGGGUUGCGCUCGUUACGGGACUUAACCCAACAUCUCACGACACGAGCUGACGACAGCCAUGCAGCACCUGUCUCUCGGUUCCCGAAGGCACCAAGGCAUCUCUGCCAAGUUCCGAGGAUGUCAAGGCCAGGUAAGGUUCUUCGCGUUGCAUCGAAUUAAACCACAUGCUCCACCGCUUGUGCGGGCCCCCGUCAAUUCAUUUGAGUUUUAGCCUUGCGGCCGUACUCCCCAGGCGGUCGACUUAUCGCGUUAACUGCGCCACUAAACCCUUAAAUGGGCCCAACGGCUAGUCGACAUCGUUUACGGCGUGGACUAC